GACGAACGCUGGCGGCGUGCUUAACACAUGCAAGUCGAGCGGAGCGGCGAACGGGUAAGUAAAGCGUGAGUAACUGCCCCACUCUCUGGGAUAACAGUUGGAAACGGAUGCUAAUACCGGAUAGUGGGGGGUGACAAGACGCCUAUCAGCUUGUUGGUGGUGUAGUGGCCUACCAAGGCGAAGACGGGUAGCCGGCCUGAGAGGGCGACCGGCCACAUUGGGCUGAGAUACGGCCCAAACUCCUACUGGAGGCAGCAGUGGGGAAUAGUGCACAAUGGUGGAAACCCUGAUGCAGCAACGCCGCGUGCGGGAUGACGGCCUUCGGGUUGUAAACCGCGUUCAGCCAUGACGCGGUAGUGGCAGAAGAAGCACCGGCUAACUCCGUGCCAGCAGCCGCGGUAAUUC
rnacentral:rRNA from 1 species